rnacentral:lncRNA from 1 species
UCUCUGGGGUGGCGAUGAUCUCGACGCCAACCUCGGGUUCUUCUACAAGAACUGCCUCAGGAUCCCCUACAAGAGCAACCCCAGGAUCCUCUGCUAGAGCAGCCUCGAGAGCAUUCACUAUAGCAGCCUCGGGUGAAGUUUCACAGGCUACCUCGGGAGGCGCCUCGAACUCAGGCUCGACGGGCACAGGAGCAGGACUGUCUGGAACAUCCUCGUCUUCAGUGUCCCCAAACCGAGGUUGAAGGUUGCUGAAAUCGAGCUUGGGACAAAUCCUCCGCACCUGGGCCUAAAAAUCCUCGAAGCCGCGGAUGAGGCCAUCGACUGCCUCCUCCUCCAGCUCUUUUCGGUACUCGGCUGACUCGCGGAAGAUCUGCACCGCAUUCCGAGCAUGCUCCAGCGCCUUCUUCUCUCGAGCUUCAAGUUGCUCGA